ACGUGCCAGCAGCCGCGGUAAUACGUAGUGGCGAGCGUUGUUCCGAAUUACUNGGGCGUAAAGGGUGUGCAGGCGGAUAUUUUAGUGAGAUGUGAAAGACCCGGGCUUAACCCGGGCAGUGCAUUUCAAACUGGAUAUCUAGAGUGCAGGAGAGGAGAACGGAAUUCCUAGUGUAGCGGUGAAAUGCGUAGAGAUUAGGAAGAACACCAGUGGCGAAGGCGGUUCUCUGGACUGUAACUGACGCUGAGGCACGAAAGCGUGGGUAGCAAACAGGAUUAGAUACCCUGGUAGUCCACGCCGUAAACGAUGAGUACUAGGUGUAGGGGGUAUCGACCCCCCCUGUGCCGCAGUAAACACAAUAAGUACUCCGCCUGGGAAGUACGAUCGCAAGAUUAAAACUCAAAGGAAUUGACGGGGACCCGCACAAGCAGCGGAGCAUGUGGUUUAAUUCGAAGCAACGCGAAGAACCUUACCUGGACUUGACAUCCCCUGAAUAACUUGUAAUGGAGGAAGCCCUUCGGGGCAGGGAGACAGGUGGUGCAUGGUUGUCGUCAGCUCGUGUCGUGAGAUGUUAGGUUAAGUCCUGCAACGAGCGCAACCCCUGUCGUUAGUUGCCAUCACGUAAAGGUGGGCACCCUAACGAGACUGCCGCGGUUAACGUGGAGGAAGGUGGGGAUGACGUCAAAUCAUCAUGCCCCUUAUGUCCAGGGCAACACACGUGCUACAAUGGGCAGAACAGAGAGAAGCAAUACCGCGAGGAGGAGCAAAUCUCAAAAACUGCCCCCAGUUCGGAUUGCAGGCUGAAACCCGCCUGCAUGAAGUUGGAGUUGCUAGUAAUCGCGAAUCAGCAUGUCGCGGUGAAUACGUUCCCGGGUCUUGUACACACCGCCCGUCACACCAUGAGAGCUGGCAACACCCGAAGUCCGUAGUCUAACCAAAAGGAGGACGCGGCCGAAGGUGGGGUUAGUGAUUGGGGUGAAGUCGUAACAAGGUAGCCG
rnacentral:rRNA from 1 species